rnacentral:tRNA from 1 species
GGCUCGUUGGUCUAGGGGUAUGAUUCCUGCUUGGGGUGCAGGAGGUCCCGGGUUCAAAUCCCGGACGAACCC